rnacentral:rRNA from 1 species
AACGCUGGCCGGCAGGCCUAACUACAUGCAAGUCGCAGCGGUAGCACAGAGAGCUUGCUCUCGGGUGACGAGCGGCGGACGGGUGAGUAAUGUCUGGGAAACUGCCUGAUGGAGGGGGAUAACUACUGGAAACGGUAGCUAAUACCGCAUAACGUCGCAAGACCAAAGAGGGGGACCUUCGGGCCUCUUGCCAUCAGAUGUGCCCAGAUGGGAUUAGCUAGUAGGUGGGGUAACGGCUCACCUAGGCGACGAUCCCUAGCUGGUCUGAGAGGAUGACCAGCCACACUGGAACUGAGACACGGUCCAGACUCCUACGGGAGGCAGCAGUGGGGAAUAUUGCACAAUGGGCGCAAGCCUGAUGCAGCCAUGCCGCGUGUAUGAAGAAGGCCUUCGGGUUGUAAAGUACUUUCAGCGAGGAGGAAGGCAUUGUGGUUAAUAACCACAGUGAUUGACGUUACUCGCAGAAGAAGCACCGGCUAACUCCGUGCCAGCAGCCGCGGUAAUACGGAGGGUGCAAGCGUUAAUCGGAAUUACUGGGCGUAAAGCGCACGCAGGCGGUCUGUCAAGUCGGAUGUGAAAUCCCCGGGCUCAACCUGGGAACUGCAUUCGAAACUGGCAGGCUAGAGUCUUGUAGAGGGGGGUAGAAUUCCAGGUGUAGCGG